AUGGCCGACGCGGGUCAAAGUGCGGUAUCUCUUCUUAUCAGCUUAUAAGAUAUGUGAUACCGGUUGUAUUUGGAUCUAAGAUAGUAAACUUACUUUCGCAAGUUGGCGGAGUGCUUAAAGCCUGCUUCACCUCCGCUGCGGGUCGGCCCGGUAUUGGACUAUCUUCGGGAUCAGCCCACGCACG